GACGAACCGUGCAAACGUUGUUCGGAUUCACUGGGCUUAAAGGGCGCGUAGGCGGGCGGUCAAGUCAGGGGUGAAAUCUUUCGGCUCAACCGGAAAAGUGCCUUUGAUACUGGCCGUCUCGAGGGAGGUAGGGGCAUGCGGAACUUCCGGUGGAGCGGUGAAAUGCGCAGAUAUCAGGAGGAACACCGAUGGCGAAGGCAGGUCUCUGGGCCACUACUGACGCUGAGAAGCGAAAGCAUGGGGAGCGAACGGG
rnacentral:rRNA from 1 species